AACGCUAGCGGCAGGCCUAACACAUGCAAGUCGAGGGGUAACAGGAAAGCUUGCUUUUGCUGACGACCGGCGCACGGGUGCGUAACGCGUAUGCAACCUACCUCAUACUGGAGCAUAGCCCUUGGAAACGGGGAUUAAUACUCCAUGGUAUCAUGAAUUCGCAUGUUUUUAUGAUUAAAGAAUUUCGGUAUGAGAUGGGCAUGCGUCCCAUUAGCUAGUUGGUGAGGUAACGGCUCACCAAGGCGACGAUGGGUAGGGGGCCUGAGAGGGUGGUCCCCCACACUGGUACUGAGACACGGACCAGACUCCUACGGGAGGCAGCAGUGAGGAAUAUUGGUCAAUGGAGGCAACUCUGAACCAGCCAUGCCGCGUGAAGGAUGACGGCCCUAUGGGUUGUAAACUUCUUUUAUAUGGGAAGAAACUUAUCUACGUGUAGAUAACUGACGGUACCAUACGAAUAAGGAUCGGCUAACUCCGUGCCAGCAGCCGCGGUAAUACGGAGGAUCCAAGCGUUAUCCGGAUUCAUUGGGUUUAAAGGGUCCGUAGGCGGAUUUUUAAGUCAGUGGUGAAAGCCGACAGCUCAACUGUCGAACUGCCAUUGAUACUGGAAAUCUUGAGUACAAAUGAAGUAGGCGGAAUGAGUCAUGUAGCGGUGAAAUGCAUAGAUAUGACUCAGAACACCAAUUGCGAAGGCAGCUUACUAACAUGUAACUGACGCUGAGGGACGAAAGCGUGGGGAGCGAACAGGAUUAGAUACCCUGGUAGUCCACGCCGUAAACGAUCAUCACUCGCUGUUGGCGAUAUACAGUCAGCGGCCAAGCGAAAAGUAUUAAGUGAUGCACCUGGGGAGUACGCC
rnacentral:rRNA from 1 species